UGUCACAUUAUUACUACAGUGCACUUCCUGUCUAAUUCGACCAGCUUGGGACCGCACUAAAAAGUCCGAAUUAUACAGUAGUCCGGCAAUACACAGAUUUUAAUGGAGUUAUCUCCCUAUUAUCAGUAAAAUUAA